AGUGAACGCUGGCGGUAGGCCUAACACAUGCAAGUCGAACGGCAGCACAGUAAGAGCUUGCUCUUACGGGUGGCGAGUGGCGGACGGGUGAGGAAUACAUCGGAAUCUACUUUUUCGUGGGGGAUAACGUAGGGAAACUUACGCUAAUACCGCAUACGACCUACGGGUGAAAGCAGGGGAUCUUCGGACCUUGCGCGAUUGAAUGAGCCGAUGUCGGAUUAGCUAGUUGGCGGGGUAAAGGCCCACCAAGGCGACGAUCCGUAGCUGGUCUGAGAGGAUGAUCAGCCGCACUGGAGCUGGGACGCGCUCCCACCUCGUGAGGGAGGCAGCAGCGGGAAAUAUUGGGCAGUGGGCGGAAGCCUGUUCCAGCCAUUCCGCGUGGGUGAAGAAGGCCUUCGGGUUGUAAAGCCCUUUUGUUGGGAAAGAAAAGCGGCAGGUUAAUACCGCGCUGUUCUGACGGUACCCAAAGAAUAGGCACCGGCUAACUUCGU
rnacentral:rRNA from 1 species